GACGAACGCUGGCGGCGUGCCUAAUACAUGCAAGUCGAGCGAAUCUUGAGGGGCUUGCCCCUUGAGGUUAGCGGCGGACGGGUGAGUAACACGUGGGCAACCUGCCUGUAAGACUGGGAUAACACCGGGAAACCGGUGCUAAUACCGGAUAAUUCUUUUCCUCACAUGAGGGAAAGCUGAAAGUCGGUUUCGGCUGACACUUACAGAUGGGCCCGCGGCGCAUAAGCUAGUUGGUGAGGUAACGGCUCACCAAGGCAACGAUGCGUAGCCGACCUGAGAGGGUGAUGGGCCACACUGGGACUGAGACACGGACCAGACUCCUACGGGAGGCAGCAGUAGGGAAUCGUCCGCAAUGGGCGAAAGUCUGACGGAGCAACGCCGCGUGAGUGAUGAAGGUCUUCGGGUCGUAAAACUCUGUUGUUAGGGAAGAACAAGUAUCGGAGUAACUGCCGGUACCUUGACGGUACCUAACCAGAAAGCCACGGCUAACUACGUGCCAGCAGCCGCCGUAACAC
rnacentral:rRNA from 1 species